UGAGGAGUUUUGGCUGAGAAAGCACUGGUGAUGGAGCCCAGGGCCUUAUGUACAAUUGGCAAGUGCUCUACCAUGGAGCUACACAGCAGACCUGAGUUAUGUGUUUUGGGGAUGAAGACUCCAGAGGCGAGGGGCCAGCACUAUCACCUUGUGUCAAGGGAACACGUACCAAUGUGACCUGUCACUGCGGAGACCUGGCAGAGGCAGCACUUGUCAGCUUUCCUCACGGAACCAUAAACUAUGCAACUUUGCUCUGCCAUAUCCUUCUACCAUGAAGUUUCGGCCUCGGAGCCAGCUGACCAUGGACUGAACCUCCUGAAAAUUACUGAAGAUUGAACCCAGGACCUUUGCAUUGAACUUCAUCCCCAGGUAUUUUUAAAAUUUUGUAUAGGGCUGGCCUCAAACCUGAGAUCCACCUGUCUCAACCUCCCAGAGCACUGGGAUCACCCAUCAUUCCUGACUCAGAAAGGGUUUCUGACCAAGAUGCAGGUCAGUCUUCAAGGAGCUGCAGAGCUGGGGUGGGGGUGGGGCUCCCUGAAAGGAGACACUGCCUACGGUCACAGCUUGAGUGGAACUGAAGAAGCACUUGGCCCAUGAAACCGUUCUUCCUGCCUGCCAUGCACAGGGAUUCUCUUCUUUUGUAACAUGAUAAAUUCCCCUGUAAUCUCAAGAUGCACGUAACAGCUUGGCCCUGGUGAGAAAUGGCUGGCUUCAUGUUUCCCCCCAGUAUGACUUCCUGUACAUACAGCGAGGGGCCUGGCCCACUCCCUGGCAAGCUUAGAAGGGAAAAACAAGGCUGAUUCAUGUUUGUGAUUAACUUCUCACCUAAUGCUGUAAUCCCAUAUGCAGAACCAGCCUGGCUGUCGGCACUUGGCAGAUAUCUCAGCUCUCCAAAGGCCGAGUGGGCAGCGUAGCCUCUGUGUAGACCCAGGCUCCAGGCACCCUGCUGGAACCACCCUCUGUGGGCUGCUUCUCAAAUGCCACCUCCUUUGGCACACUUUUACCUGCCACUGGAUCUUUCCCUCUGUACAACCCCCACCCAUGGCAUUUCAUUUGUACCUCUUUCUUUAUUUGUGCCUCUUACUUGCUUUUCGUUCCCAUACCAUUAUCAAAGGGUGGUAACCAUGUUCUCCUCUUUAGCCUCCUCCAGUGCCAAGCCUGGUGCCCAGCACAGUGCAGCUCUGUUGAUCACAAUGGAGUGAGCUGAGCUGCACACGAUGACCUCUCUGGCAGGACGCUGGCGUGGAGGGAAAAGAAGCCCAGAGCAAAUUCCAGCCCUGGCCUGCAGCUCAGAUUUGACCUCCCUCUACUUUUCUCAACACUAAUCCCAGGCCCGUGUUAUGAUAAACUACUUGCUCCUUGUUCAGCAGUACAUUCAGGAACUGGACAGCCGCCAAGGAAAACACAGGGGCAGUGGUGGACUAUUGAAAUAAAUGAGUAGCCUAUGAUAAAUAUAGGAAAAACAGUGUUAGUUAAUACACUUAUGCGCCAACAAAAUCACAUACUAUUUAAUAGGGGGAGGAGUUUUAACAUGAAUGCGUAUGGCUUUAUGUAACAAGGUUGAUUUAAAAAAGAAAAGACAACAAAUAAUCUACAACCUUUUUAGCCAAGUAAAUGCUGGUUCUUCAAAGUCAGUAUUAGUGUGGUGGGAAACAUCAGUUGCCUAAAACAGCUCUAUUAUUCUUGAUGGAGGUCUUCAGAGCUGGAAUAGGAGGAAAAUUAGAUACAUUACUUGAUAAUUUAGCUUUUUGGUUUCAAGUCCCAAAUGGUAUCAACCAACUUGAUUACUGGCCUGGUUCACUAGACUUGGCUCUGAAUUAUUUUUAACAGUUUCCAGGAAUUAAAUCCACCUUAAAAACAAAACAAAACAAAACCAAAAAACCUCACACAAAUCUUGCUAUUUCUCAGGCAUGAAAAAAAGGUCUUGUAAGUUCUGGUGUUCCUAAGGGAGGUUCCCAAACUCCCUUUUUCUGAGCAGGAAAAAUCCCUUUGUUGACCUCACAGGUGAUUUCUGCAAAUGUGCAAGUUUUGAUUUCUUUGUUUGAAGAUCUGUCAUGUCAUCUUAGGCUCAGCCUUCCUCCUUAUUCACACUCUGCAGACUGUCAUCAGGUUUGGUCUGCACAAAAUAGUUGACCUGCAUCAAGGAAUUUAAAUUUUGAAUACCAGACCAGCCAUGACAUUCAGAUCAGUGGGAGACUUUGCAAAUCAAUAUGCAAACCUGAGCAGCCCACAUGGGUGUCUCCCCAACUGGCUCUCAGCAGGAGGCACAGGUUAUGCAAUAACUGAACUCAGCCUGCUUUCCUUCCAACUCAGCAUAAAUCGCUUGUGUGCAGGCGUGAUGGUGCCAAGCCCAGCAGCGAAGGCUAAUUGAGAACCUCGAUGUCUGCCUUCCUGACAGUAGAAAGCUUCGACCUGCUUCCAGGUGACAGUACACACACUUCCAGCAUGAACUCAAAACCCCAGCUGUCUCACCUGUAGAAAAUGACAUGUGCAUAUUACUUUUUUAAUAGGAUUAUUUGCAAAAGAUUAUACACAACAUAAAUCUCCAUCAAUAGGGGCCUCGACCAAUGUAUUAUGGAGUAGAAUAUAUGCAGAUGCAUAGGUAUGUGUAUGCACACAUUUGACAGUUAGUUUUAUAUGUUAUUUUGGUUGAUAUAUCCAAGGGAUGUCCAAGUGGCUAGUAAAAUGUUACUUCUGGAUUUGUCUCAGAGAGUGUUUCUGGGAGAAAAUUGCAUUUGAACUGAUGGACUGAGUAAGAACAUCUGUCCUCACCAGUGUGGGCAGGCACAUUCAAACUACUGAGGGCCUGAAUAGAACAAAAAGAUAGAUGAAGGACAAAUUUCCUUUGCUUUAGCUGGGAUACACUUCUUAUCUUGCCCUUAGACAUUCUCGGGCCUUUGGAACUGGACUGAAAGUGCCAGAUGUGGACUGGAAGUACAGCUCUUUUUUUGUUUCUUUGUUUAAGCAACAUAUUCUCUCGCAGUUCUGUAGGCUGGAAUCUAAGAUCGAGUUGUCUUCUGAGACUCCUCACCUGGGCUUGCAGAUGUGGGUCUUCUCCCUGUGUCCACACUUGCUCUUCCCUCUGUGUGCCUGUGUCCUCAACUCCUCUUUUUCUCAGGGCAGUUGUCAUUUUGGAUUAAAGCUCACUCUAAUGGCUUCAUUUUAAAGGAAGUCCCUCUUUAUAGGGCAAAUCUCCAGAGAGAGCCACAUUCUAAAGUAUGAGGUUUGGGCCAGGUAUUUAGCUCAGUGGUUCUGCCACCUGCCUCACAAGUGUAAGGUCCUGAGUUUGAUCCCCGGUAACAAAAAAAAAAUUUUUUAAUAAAAAAAAUAAAGUAUGAGGUUUAACAUCCUUUAGCUAAAAUGCUUGGGAUCAGAGGCAUUUUGAAUUUUUUUCUCAGAUUUUGGAAUAUUUACAUAUAUGUAAUUUGAUACCUUGGCGGAUAGAACUCAAAUCUAAACAAACGAAUCUGUAUCUCAUGUACAUCUUAUGCAUCCAGCCUGAAUGUAACUUUAUACAAUAUUUUCAGGGUAACUACACCUGGCCUGACCUGUCCUAUGAGGUGAGGCAUGGAGUGUUCUGCUUGUGGUAUCACAUCAGCACCCCCUAAAAAUUUCAGAGCCCUUCCUGGGCCUCUAGCUCACAGAUGGCAGGUGGUGGCACUUGUUGGCCUCCAUAAUCACACGAACCAAUCUUUCAUAAUAAACCUCUUCCUAUGUACCAUAUCUACGCAUAUCCUCUUUGUUUUUCUGAAGAAUUCUGUAAUACACAUAUAUGCAUAAGUUCCAUGUAUGCAAAUAUCUCCAAGAGAUGUUAAGUAAAAAGGAAAGUUGAAGAAUAGUAUGUGUAGUAUGCUACUAAGUUUUUCAUAUGUGUGAAAAACUCUGGAAGGAUCUUCAAGAAAUAAAUUCUGUUGGCUUGUGGGUAAAGAAGCUCAGUGGCUGAGGGACAGACGCAGAAGAAAGAUUCAGCAAUUUUAAAUACUACUUGAACUUGAAAUCAUAUGAAUGUAUAGCCCAUAAAAAUAGUUGCCUUAAAAAUAAAUGACACAUAUCAAUUGACAGAUGAGUAGAUAAAUAAAAUAUGGUAUAUGUGUAUGUGUGUGUGUGUGAUGUGUGUGUGUUCAUCCCUUUAAAAAAUGAAAUUCGUACAUGUGCUGCAACUUGGAUAAACCUUGAAGACUGUAUGCUAAGUGAAAUAAGGUGGAUGUAAAAGGAAAAACAAGGCAUGAUUUCACUUACAUGAGAUACUUAGUAGAGUCAAAUUUACAGAAACAAAGCAAAAUGGUGGUUGCCAAGGCUUGAGGAAGGCAGGAAUGAGGAGUUAUCAUUUAAUGGGUAGAGAGUAUUAGUUUUGCAAGAUCUAAAGGAUUUUGGAGAUUACAUGUACAAUAGUGUAAAUGAUUUUGUCAUUCUACACAAGGAACACCCUAGUUGCAGUCACCUAGAGGAUGUGUUAGAGCAAGGGUCCCCAAACCCCAGGGCCACAGACUGAUACUGGUCCAUAGCCUGUUAGGAACUGAAUCACACAGCGUGUGAGUGGCAGGAAGGGAGAAAGGCUUCAUCUGUAUUUACAGCCACUCCCCAUCAAUCACAUGACCACCUGAGCUUUGCCUCUUGUCAGAUCAGCAGCAGCAUUAGAUUCCCACAGGAGCACGAACCUUACUGUGAGCUGGGCAUGUGAAAGAUCUAGGUUUUUUGUUUUUUACAACAACCUAAUGCCUGAUGAUCUGAGGUGAAGCUGAGGCAGUGAUACUAGCUGAGGGAGUGCCUGCAAAUGCAGACUCCUAUUAGCAGCGAGGUUUGACUGCGCAGAGACCAUAAUAAAUCAAUUGCUUACAGAUUGAGAUCAAAAUCCAUCAGUGAGCAGCAAGUGACAAUUAAAUUGCAUCUGGUGGCAGACUUUAAGUCUGCCCACUAUCUUUGUUACUUGAGUCUCCAUUAUGGUGAGUUGUAUAAUCAUUUCACUAUAUAUUGCAAUGUAAUAAUAAUAGAAAUAAAAUGUACAAUAAAUGUAAUAAUUCUGAAACCACUCUUCCUAUCCUGGUCUGUGGAAAAAUUGUCUUUCAAAAAAACAAUUCCUGAUGCCAAAAAGGUAGGGGACUGCUGUGUUAGAGGACUUUAGGGCUCUGCUCUGCCUGGUCUUUCUGUCAGCUUUAGCAAGGCAGAUUAUCUGAUUGCUCUCUGCUUUUGUUUUUUAAUCUGAAAAAUAGAAGUAUGAUUUUCCAGUCCUGAUACUUUAAUUUCAUUAUUGAGUAUUGAUGUUCCUCCACUCAGGCUCCCAGCCCUUAUGAUAAUAUCAACCCCCAGG
ensembl:lncRNA